AACGAACGCUGGCGGCAUGCCUAACACAUGCAAGUCGAACGAGACCUUCGGGUCUAGUGGCGCACGGGUGCGUAACGCGUGGGAACCUGCCCUUAGGUUCGGAAUAACUCCCCGAAAGGGGUGCUAAUACCGGAUAAUGUCUUCGGACCAAAGAUUUAUCGCCUUUGGAUGGGCCCGCGUUGGAUUAGCUAGUUGGUAGGGUAAAAGCCUACCAAGGCGACGAUCCAUAGCUGGUCUGAGAGGAUGAUCAGCCACACUGGGACUGAGACACGGCCCAGACUCCUACGGGAAGAAGCAGUGGGGAAUAUUGGACAAUGGGCGAAAGCCUGAUCCAGCAAUGCCGCGUGAAUGAUGAAGGCCUUAGGGUUGUAAAGCUCUUUUACCCGGGAUGAUAAUGACAGUACCGGGAGAAUAAGCUCCGGCUAACUCCGUG
rnacentral:rRNA from 1 species